rnacentral:misc_RNA from 1 species
GAUGAAGAACGCAGUGAAAUGCGAUAAGUAAUGUGAAUUGCAGAAUUCAGUGAAUCAUCGAAUCUUUGUACGCACAUUGCGCCCGCCAGUAUUCUGGCGGGCAUGCCUGUUCGAGCGUCAUUUCAACCAUCAAGCCCCAGGCUUGUGUUGGGGACCUGCGGCUGCCGCAGGCCCUGAAAACCAGUGGCGGGCUCGCUGUCACACCGGGCGUAGUAGAUUUUAUCUCGCUCAGGGCGUGCUGCGGGUUCCGGCCGUUAAAAAGCCUUUUUUACCCAAGGUUGACCUCGGAUCAGGUAGGAAGACCCGCUGAACUUAAGCAUAUCAAUAAGCGGAGGA